rnacentral:rRNA from 1 species
CCUACGGGUGGCUGCAGUGGGGAAUAUUGGACAAUGGGGGCAACCCUGAUCCAGCCAUGCCGCGUGUGUGAAGAAGGCCCUCGGGUUGUAAAGCACUUUCAGUGAGGAAGAACGCCUGGUGGUUAAUACCCAUCAGGAAAGACAUCACUCACAGAAGAAGCACCGGCUAACUCCGUGCCAGCAGCCGCGGUAAUACGGAGGGUGCGAGCGUUAAUCGGAAUUACUGGGCGUAAAGCGCGCGUAGGUGGCUUGAUAAGCCGGUUGUGAAAGCCCCGGGCUCAACCUGGGAACGGCAUCCGGAACUGUCAAGCUAGGGUGCAGGAGGGGAAGGUAGAAUUCCCGGUGUAGCGGUGAAAUGCGUAGAGAUCGGGAGGAAUACCAGUGGCGAAGGCGGCCUUCUGGACUGACACUGACACUGAGGUGCGAAAGCGUGGGUAGCAAACAGGAUUAGAUACCCUUGUAGUC